UACAGAGGUGGCAAGCGUUGUUCGGAAUUACUGGGCGUAAAGGGCGCGUAGGCGGUCUUGCAAGUCCUGUGUGAAAUCCCUCGGCUCAACUGAGGAACUGCACAGGAAACUGCUUGGCUUGAGUUCGGGAGAGGGAAGCGGAAUUCCGGGUGUAGCGGUGAAAUGCGUAGAUAUCCGGAGGAACACCGAUGGCGAAGGCAGCCCCCUGGGUUAACACUGACGCUCAGGCACGAAAGCGUGGGGAGCAAACAGG
rnacentral:rRNA from 1 species